rnacentral:rRNA from 1 species
GAUGAACGCUGGCGGCGUGCCUAAUACAUGCAAGUCGAGCGAACGGACGAGAAGCUUGCUUCUCUGAUGUUAGCGGCGGACGGGUGAGUAACACGUGGAUAACCUACCUAUAAGACUGGGAUAACGUCGGGAAACCGGAGCUAAUACCGGCUGAUAUUUUGAACCGCAUGGUUCAAAAGUGAAAGACGGUCUUGCUGUCACUUAUAGAUGGAUCCGCGCUGCAUUAGCUAGUUGGUAAGGUAACGGCUUACCAAGGCAACGAUGCAUAGCCGACCUGAGAGGGUGAUCGGCCACACUGGAACUGAGACACGGUCCAGACUCCUACGGGAGGCAGCAGUAGGGAAUCUUCCGCAAUGGGCGAAAGCCUGACGGAGCAACGCCGCGUGAGUGAUGAAGGUCUUCGGAUCGUAAAACUCUGUUAUUAGGGAAGAAAAUAUGUGUAAGUAACUGUGCACAUCUUGACGGUACCUAAUCAGAAAGCCACGGCUAACUACGUG